CUGGACCCAGGGACCAAACCUGAGUCUCUGGUAUCUCCUGCAUUGGCAAGUGGAUUCCCACCAACUGCAGGACCUGGGAAGCUUUACUGAAAUGCAAAAGUUUGUUCCCCCUCCAAAUUCACAUGUUGGAGCCCUAACCCCAACAUGACUGUUACUUGGAGAUAAGGUUUUUAGGGAAGAAAUUAAGGUUAAAUGAAGUCAUAAGGGUGGGGCCCUAAUCUGACAGGAUUAGUAUCUUUAUAAAAAGAGAUAUCAGAGAGUUCACUGGCUCUCUCUCUACCAUGUGAGGACACAGCAAAGAAGUGGCCAUCUGGAAGCCAGGAAGAAAACCAGUCCCCUGAUCUUGGACUUCCAGUCUCCAGAACUGUGAGAAAAGAAAUCUCAGUUGUCUAAACUACCUAGUUUACGGAAUUUUGUUUUGGUAGUCUGAGCAAACAAACACAAACACACUAAUCCCAAGAAUUAAUCACAGAGUAUACAGAAAAAGAGGAUCAAGAACAGGAGUCAAGAACAGUUAAGACUGGCUUCUACCACGAACUCAGCCACUCUGUGGUACACCCUUAACCCUCUGAAGCACCUUUCUUCUCUUCUAUGAAAUGAGAGGCUCUAGGUAGAACUUCUUCAGGUCUCUUAAAAUUUCCAAACUAAGCUCUUUCCAGUGAUAAGAGUCUGGAGAAGAUGUGCAGAAAUGGCACCUUGUAGGGGGAAAGAAAAGAAGGAAGAACAGGUCAUCAGCCUUGGCCCUCAGAUGGCUGAAGAAAAUGUAUUUGGUGUGUGCCACACCUUUGCAUCCUUCGACACUUUUGUCCAUGUCACCAAUCUUUCAGGCAAGGAAACCAUCUGCCGUGUAACUGGUUGGAUGAACGUGAAGGCUGACUGAGAUGAGUCCUCUCCAUAUGCUGCCAUGUUGGCUGCCUAGGAUGUAGCCCAGAGAUGCAAGGCACUGGGCAUCACUGCCUUCCACAUCACACUCUGGGCCACAGGAGGAAAUAGGAGCAAGACUCCUGGACCAGGAGCCCAGUCAGUGCUCAAAGCCCUUGCCCGCUCAGGGAUGAAGAUUGGGUGGAUUGAGAAUGUAAGCUCCAUCCCCUCUGACAGCACCUGCAAGAAGAGGGGUCUCCACGGUCACCAUCUGUGAACAGGACUCCUCAAAUUGUUGUUUUGUUAAUAAAUUGCCUUGAUGUAAAAACAAAAACACUUUCAAACUAAAAGUGUUACAUACUGUGGGCUAUGGCUCAGGCAAUGACAAUGCCAGGAGUCUAUCCUCACGAAGCACAAAGUUCUUAUGGGUAUUCACAAAACUAUUUAGUUAUAAGCAUAUUCAUGACAGAAUUGCAUUUAAUGGCAAAAAACAAGAACAGCAACAAAAAAACUUGUAAAUAACCUAUCCAACAAUAAACUAUGUUAAAUAAACUAUAUAAUAGAGACAGAUCAUAGAAUAAGUGAAUAUUUAUUCUGCAAACCUGUUUAAAAAAAUUAACAUCAAGUAUAUACUGCUAAGAAACCUUAAAAUUAUAGAUUGGUAAAAACUUUGUUAAAAAUACGAUCAGUGAACAUGGAGCAUGCCACUCCUGCAUGCAGCUAUUCCUUCCACGUGAGUCACUUUUCAAAAAACUGUAAACUGUUUUAUUGAGGUAUAUUUGACAUAAACUACAAUAUCUAAAGUACACAUUUGGUAAGUUUUGACAUAUAUAAACCCAUAAAACCCACAGGCCCAUAAAACCAGAAUAAUAAAGAUAACAUAUCCAUCACUCCCCAAAGUUUCCUGGUGCACCUUUAUAAUCGCUCCCUCCCAACACUCCUUGCUCUCACUCGCCUCCUCAAAUCACCACUGAUUUGCUGUCACUACAGAUCAGUUUGCAUUUUCUAGUUUUAUACAAAUGAAAUCAUACAUUACAUACUCUUUUUUUGCCUGGCUUCUUUCACUCGGCAUAUUUGUGUUGAGAUUCAGCUAUGCCGCUUCAUGUAUUUAUUUCUGCGUGGUAUUUCAUUGUAUGGGUCAUUUUGACUCAGAAUUAGCAGUCUUCAUUUCCAAUCCAGUUGCUUCAAGAAAAGAGGCUUCAGCAAUGACAUCUAAUAUUUCUUUUAACUUCACCAUUUUCAAGGAAUUAGGGUGUUCCAGGCCAGGCUUGAUAUUUUCUCUUUUAGACACCGCUUGCUUUGCUUUGAUUCUUUCAAAGCAGGGCCUCAUUUACAUUUCACCUAAAUUUCAUUCUGCAGCAAGUUAAUAAACCCAACAUUGUGGGGCUGCUGGUAUGUUCCUGGUGAGUUUUAUCAGCUGGGUUCUAUCAAGUGACAUGAAUGCUGACUGAUGUCACUAAAAUGUCACUUUGCAUUUGUCAUUAAAUACAAAACAGUAAUUAGUGUAUGAAUCAAUUUUUGUUCUUAAAAUACUUUAAAAGAUGACAAAACUAUAUGUGAAAAAUGAUUAUUAAUCUGUAUUACCAAAUACAGUAAACAUUUUCUUUUUAAGGUCAAAGGGGAGUCACACACACACAAAAAGAAAGGUGAUAGGAUUUUACAUAAUCGGUAUUUGCUAGACUGCCAAAGAACAGGGAUAUCCAACUACUAUUAUUGUAUAAUAGCUUAAUUCAUAAGCCCUCACGUGUUCACCUAGAAUGGGCUUCUUAGGAAAGAUAUCCCUCAUGUCUCUGGAACCGAAACAUAAAUGUAAAAUUGUAAACCUACUUUCAUAAAUAUAAAUGGAAUUUGGAACCUUUUAGAGAUAAAGUAGUUCCAAUGACAGCUUCCAAGUUUUUGGCCUUGUAAUUUACAGUCUUUAAUUACAGUCUUUAAUUGUAAGUCUGUAUAAAGCUUGGCUAGAGUAACAGUUUAUUAUUUACCAAACUCCCUUUCACUCAUUAAUCACAAUAUGCAUUACAACACAGUUGCAAAAUAGGUCAAAAUACUCCUAAAUACAUUUUUGGCAUUCGGUACUUAUUAAUAUUACUCCCCUUUCUAUUCUUUGAGAAAGCCUGUAUUUAGUUAAGACUCUUGCUAAAAAUGCUAAUUAUUUAACGAUAACACAUCAAGUUUUCUCGUAGGGAAACAUAACGUCAAAACCCUAAGGCAGCCGUGAAUAUCAUCUUUGUAUUUUUAAGAUCUGAAAAUUCACUUCUUCCUAAUGUUACCCAGAUAUGGUCAACGCAGCAUACAAAAAAGAAUUUUUGGAAAUUCUCUGUGAUCUUGCACAAAAGCUUAAAAUAGAACGCAACGAGGGAACUACUUCAUCUACAUGUAAAACACAAUCCAAUACGCCUCACAUUGUGAAAGUUAAAGUGAAAAGUCGCUCAGUCGUGUCCGACUCUUUACGACCCCAUGGACUGUAGCCCACCAGGC